GACGAACGCUGGCGGCGUGCUUAACACAUGCAAGUCGAGCGGAAAGGCCACUUCGGUGGUACUCGAGCGGCGAACGGGUGAGUAACACGUGAGUAAUCUGCCCUUGGCUUCGGGAUAGCCACCGGAAACGGUGAUUAAUACCGGAUACGACCACUUCCUGCAUGGGAUGGUGGUGGAAAGUUUUUCGGCCAGGGAUGUGCUCGCGGCCUAUCAGCUUGAUGGUGAGGUAAUGGCUCCCCAUGGCUUCGACGGGUAGCCGGCCUGAGAGGGUGACCGGUCACACUGGGACUGAGACACGGCCCAGACUCCUACGGGAGGCAGCAGUGGGGAAUAUUGGACGAUGGGCGGAAGCCUGAUCCAGCAACGCCGCGUGAGGGAUGACGGCCUUCGGGUUGUAAACCUCUUUCAGCAGGGACGAAGCGCAAGUGACGGUACCUGCAGAAGAAGCACCGGCCAACUACGUGCCAGCCGCCGCCGUAAGAC
rnacentral:rRNA from 1 species